rnacentral:rRNA from 1 species
GAUGAACGCUGGCGGCGUGCCUAAUACAUGCAAGUCGUGCGAAUGGAUUAAGAGCUUGCUCUUAUGAAGUUAGCGGCGGACGGGUGAGUAACACGUGGGUAACCUGCCCAUAAGACUGGGAUAACUCCGGGAAACCGGGGCUAAUACCGGAUAACAUUUUGAACCGCAUGGUUCGAAAUUGAAAGGCGGCUUCGGCUGUCACUUAUGUAUGGACCCGCGUCGCAUUAGCUAGUUGGGGAGGUAACGGCUCACCAAGGCAACGAUGCGUAGCCGACCUGCGAGGGUGAUCGGCCACACUGGGACUGAGACACGGCCCAGACUCCUACGGGAGGCAGCAGUAGGGAAUCUUCCGCAAUGGACGAAAGUCUGACGGAGCAACGCCGCGUGAGUGAUGAAGGCUUUCGGGUCGUAAAACUCUGUUGUUAGGGAAGAACAAGUGCUAGUUGAAUAAGCUGGCACCUUGACGGUACCUAACCAGAAAGCCACGGCUAACUACGCGCCAGCCGCCGCGGUAA